CGAGUGAACCGGGAAGAGCUCAAAUUUGAAAUCUGGCAGUCUUCGAUUGUCCGAGUUGUAAUCUAUAGAAGCGUUUUCCGUGCUGAACUGUGUAUAAGUCCCUUGGAACAGGGUAUCAAAGAGGGUGACAAUCCCGUACUUUACACAAUCAUCAGUGCUCUGUGAUACGUUCUCUACGAGUCGAGUUGUUUGGGAAUGCAGCUCAAAAUGGGUGGUAAAUUCCAUCUAAAGCUAAAUAUUGGCGAGAGACCGAUAGCGAACAAGUACCGUGAGGGAAAGAUGAAAAGCACUUUGGAAAGAGAGUUAAACAGUACGUGAAAUUGUUGAAAGGGAAACGAUUGAAGUCAGUCGUGUUCAUUGGACUCAGCCGGUUUUCGGUGUAUUUCCUUUGAACGGGUCAACAUCAGUUUUGUCCGGUGGAUAAAGGUAGUAGGAAGGUGGCUCCCCCGGGAGUGUUAUAGCCUAUUGCCACAUACACUGGAGGAGACUGAGGACUGCAGCUUGCCUUUAUGGCCGGGGUUCGCCCACGUUCAAGCUUAGG
rnacentral:rRNA from 1 species